GGUGGGGUGUCGGAGCGGUCUAUCGAGCUGGUCUUGAAAACCAGUGUGUCCAAAAGGCACCGUGGGUUCGAAUCCCACCCCCACCGCCA
rnacentral:tRNA from 1 species